UGAUUAUUACGUGCUUAACUCUUUGUAAAAUGCCUUGAUUAGACCCGAAUCUCUGGCCUAAAAUUCUUCCGCUGAGAGUCGAAACGAAGAGAAGAUAGUGCACGGCAUCAUGUUUUCGUCUUCAGCUUCCACUUUCUUCUUCUCAUCAACAAAGCCAAUGGAAGUUGUGGGUUUUGCCCAUUCUUCCCACCCACUUUCUCUCUUCAACUUCACACCAACAACCUUCACCUCCAACACUACAUUCAUUUCCCUAAAGAAACAGGCGCCCAUUAAGCCUUUCCAAGUGAGAGCUGUAGCUGCUCCUGCAGAAGCCACUGCUGGAUUUGAUGAAAUGGUUUCUGGGACCCAGCGUAAGUAUUACAUGCUAGGUGGUAAAGGAGGAGUUGGGAAGACAAGUUGUGCUGCUUCACUUGCUGUAAAAUUUGCAAAUAACGGUCAUCCCACUUUAGUAGUUUCAACUGAUCCAGCACAUUCCUUAAGUGAUUCUUUUGCUCAGGAUUUGACUGGCGGGACACUAGUUCCAGUUGAAGGCCCGUAUUCUCCAUUAUUCGCCCUUGAGUUAAAUCCUGAAAAGGCCAAGGAAGAGUUUCGAAGUGCAACCGAGAUGAGUGGAGGAUCUGGCAUCAAAGACUUUAUGGACGGUAUGGGCCUUGGGGUGCUUGCUGAACAGCUUGGGGAACUAAAGCUUGGAGAACUGCUGGAUACACCCCCUCCUGGUCUAGAUGAAGCCAUUGCAAUUUCAAAGGUUAUGCAAUUCCUUGAGUCGCAGGAAUAUAAUAUGUUUACUCGUGUAGUGUUUGACACAGCCCCGACGGGACAUACUCUACGGCUCUUGUCCUUGCCAGACUUCUUGGAUAAAUCAAUUGGAAAGAUAUUGAAGUUGAGACAGAAGAUAGCUUCUGCCACUUCAGCAAUAAAGUCUGUCUUUGGCCAAGAAGGAACGCCCAAGCCAGAUGCUUCAGAUAAAUUGGAGCGGUUAAGGGAGAGGAUGAUAAAAGUAAGAGAGCUUUUUCGUGACACAACCUCAAUGGAAUUUAUCAUAGUAACAAUCCCCACGGUUAUGGCAAUUAGUGAAUCAUCAAGGUUGUGUGCUUCCUUAAAGAAGGAAGAUGUUCCUGUCAAGAGGCUUAUUGCUAACCAGAUUCUUCCGCCAUCAGCCUCAGAUUGCAAGUUCUGCGCAAUGAAAAGAAAGGACCAAAGUCGGGCUCUGGAUAUGAUCCAGAAUGACCCAGAGCUCUCUAGUCUGAUGUUGGUCCAGGCACCCCUUGUUGAUGUAGAGAUUAGAGGUGUUCCAGCUCUUCAGUUUUUAGGGGACAUUGUCUGGAAAUGAAGAAAAGAACUUGAUACGCUGCAUCAGCUAAUCAGGUCUGGAUCUUAAUUAUUCAGCUCCAGCCCAUUAGACGUUGCCAGUGGCAUUUGUCAACAAACUGCAUUCAUGGACUAUGAGCGCCUAUCGGCUUUUGAUGCUCUUGCUCUAACUAGUGAAAACAAAUACAUGCGAUACGCGUGUUUGUUGCUGAGGUACAGGUUAAUACUAUCUCGUCUACACUGAUACCAAGAAAAUACAGUGGGAGUUGCAUUGGAUGA